ACAGGCUUAACACAUGCAAGUCGAGGGGCAGCAUGGUCUUAUCUUGCUAAGGCCGAUGGCGACCGGCGCACGGGUGAGUAACACGUAUCCAACCUGCCGUCUACUCUUGGACAGCCUUCUGAAAGGAAGAUUAAUACAAGAUGGCAUCAUGAGUCCGCAUGUUCACAUGAUUAAAGGUAUUCCGGUAGACGAUGGGGAUGCGUUCCAUUAGAUAGUAGGCGGGGUAACGGCCCACCUAGUCUUCGAUGGAUAGGGGUUCUGAGAGGAAGGUCCCCCACAUUGGAACUGAGACACGGUCCAAACUCCUACGGGAGGCAGCAGUGAGGAAUAUUGGUCAAUGGGCGAGAGCCUGAACCAGCCAAGUAGCGUGAAGGAUGACUGCCCUAUGGGUUGUAAACUUCUUUUAUAAAGGAAUAAAGUCGGGUAUGGAUACCCGUUUGCAUGUACUUUAUGAAUAAGGAUCGGCUAACUCCGUGCCAGCAGCCGCGGUAAUACGGAGGAUCCGAGCGUUAUCCGGAUUUAUUGGGUUUAAAGGGAGCGUAGAUGGAUGUUUAAGUCAGUUGUGAAAGUUUGCGGCUCAACCGUAAAAUUGCAGUUGAUACUGGAUAUCUUGAGUGCAGUUGAGGCAGGCGGAAUUCGUGGUGUAGCGGUGAAAUGCUUAGAUAUCACGAAGAACUCCGAUUGCGAAGGCAGCCUGCUAAGCUGCAACUGACAUUGAGGCUCGAAAGUGUGGGUAUCAAACAGGAUUAGAUACCCUGGUAGUCCACACGGUAAACGAUGAAUACUCGCUGUUUGCGAUAUACUGCAAGCGGCCAAGCGAAAGCGUUAAGUAUUCCACCUGGGGAGUACGCCGGCAACGGUGAAACUCAAAGGAAUUGACGGGGGCCCGCACAAGCGGAGGAACAUGUGGUUUAAUUCGAUGAUACGCGAGGAACCUUACCCGGGCUUAAAUUGCAGAUGAAUUACGGUGAAAGCCGUAAGCCGCAAGGCAUCUGUGAAGGUGCUGCAUGGUUGUCGUCAGCUCGUGCCGUGAGGUGUCGGCUUAAGUGCCAUAACGAGCGCAACCCUUGUUGUCAGUUACUAACAGGUUCCGCUGAGGACUCUGACAAGACUGCCAUCGUAAGAUGUGAGGAAGGUGGGGAUGACGUCAAAUCAGCACGGCCCUUACGUCCGGGGCUACACACGUGUUACAAUGGGGGGUACAGAGGGCCGCUACCACGCGAGUGGAUGCCAAUCCCCAAAACCUCCCUCAGUUCGGACUGGAGUCUGCAACCCGACUCCACGAAGCUGGAUUCGCUAGUAAUCGCGCAUCAGCCACGGCGCGGUGAAUACGUUCCCGGGCCUUGUACACACCGCCCGUCAAGCCAUGGGAGCCGGGGGUACCUGAAGUGCGUAAACGGGAGGAGCGCCCUAGGGUAAAACUGGU
rnacentral:rRNA from 1 species